UACAGAGGGUGCAAGCGUUUAAUCGGAAUUACUGGGCGUAAAGCGUGCGUAGACGGUUAUGUAAGUCGGGUGUGAAAACCUGGGGCUCAACCCCGGGCCUGCAGCCGAUACGGGCAAACUAGAAUUCGGUAGGGGAGACUGGAAUUCCUGGUGUAGCGGUGAAAUGCGCAGAUAUCAGGAGGAACACCGGUGGCGAAGGCGGGUCUCUGGGCCGAUAUCGACGCUGAGGAGCGAAAGCGUGGGGAGCGAACAGG
rnacentral:rRNA from 1 species